rnacentral:rRNA from 1 species
GAUGAACGCUGACAGAAUGCUUAACACAUGCAAGUCUACCAAGAAUCACUUCGGUGAGGAAUGGUGGCGGACGGGUGAGUAACGCGUAAAUAAUCUGCCCUUUAGACUGGGAUAUCCUUUGGAAACGAAGGUUAAUACCGGAUAUUAUGAGAUGGACGCAUGUUCAACUUAUGAAAGCUAAAUGCACUAGAGGAGGAGUUUGCGUCCCAUUAGCUAGUUGGUGAGGUAAAGGCGCACCAAGGCCACGAUGGGUAGCCGGCCUGAGAGGGUGAACGGCCACAAGGGAACUGAGACACGGCCCAGACUCCUACGGGAGGCAGCAGUAGGGAAUCUUCCGCAAUGGGCGAAAGCCUGGCGGAGCAACGCCGCGUGAGUGAUGAAGGUCUUCGGAUCGUAAAACCCUGUUGUUAGGGAAGAACAAAUUUGUUAGUAACUGAACAAGUCUUGACGGUACCUAACCAGAAAGCCACGGCUAACUACGUGCCAGCAGCCGCCGUAA